rnacentral:tRNA from 1 species
UACAUUUUAGUAUAUGAGGUACUUUGACUUUUGAUGUCUAAAGAGAUAGUUUAAUUCUAUUAAAUGUAG